rnacentral:rRNA from 1 species
GAUGAACGCUGGCGGCGUGCUUAACACAUGCAAGUCGAACGGAAAGUCCCUGCUUUUGUGGGGUGCUCGAGUGGCGAACGGGUGAGUUACACGUGAGUAACCCGCCCUUGACUUUGGGAUACCUUCAGGAAACUCGGGCUAAUACCGGAUAGCAGCUCCCGCUGCACGGUGGGGGUUGGACAGUUACGGCGGUUGGGGAUGGUCUCCCGGCUGUUCAGCUUGUCGGUGGGGGAGUGGCCUACCAAGGCUUUGUCGGGUAGCCGGCCUGAGCGGGUGACCGGCCCCAGUAGGACUGAGGUACGGCCCGGACUCCUACGGGGGGCAGCGGUGGGAGAUAUUGCACAAUGGGCGGAAGCAUAAUGCAGCAACGCCGCGUGCGGGAUGGCGGCCUAGGGGUUGUAACCCGCUUUCGCCUGGGACGAAGCGUGAGUGACGGUAAUGGGUAAAAAAGCACCGGCUAACUACGUG